rnacentral:rRNA from 1 species
GACGAACGCUGGCGGCGUGCCUAAUACAUGCAAGUAGAACGCUGAAGGAGGAGCUUGCUUCUCUGGAUGAGUUGCGAACGGGUGAGUAACGCGUAGGUAACCUGCCUGGUAGCGGGGGAUAACUAUUGGAAACGAUAGCUAAUACCGCAUAAGAGUAGAUGUUGCAUGACAUUUGCUUAAAAGGUGCAAUUGCAUCACUACCAGAUGGACCUGCGUUGUAUUAGCUAGUUGGUGGGGUAACGGCUUACCAAGGCGACGAUACAUAGCCGACCUGAGAGGGUGAUCGGCCACACUGGGACUGAGACACGGCCCAGACUCCUACGGGAGGCAGCAGUAGGGAAUCUUAGGCAAUGGACGGAAGUCUGACCGAGCAACGCCGCGUGAGUGAAGAAGGUUUUCGGAUCGUAAAGCUCUGUUGUAAGAGAAGAACGAGUGUGAGAGUGGAAAGUUCACACUGUGACGGUAUCUUACCAGAAAGGGACGGCUAACUACGUG